UACGGGGGGAGCAAGCGUUGUUCGGAUUUACCGGGCGUAAAGGGCGCGUAGGCGGUCGUGACAAGUCACUUGUGAAAUCUCCGGGCUUAACUCGGAACGGUCAAGUGAUACUGUCGGACUAGAGUACAGAAGGGGCAACUGGAAUUCUCGGUGUAGCGGUGAAAUGCGUAGAUAUCGAGAGGAACACCUGCGGCGAAGGCGGGUUGCUGGGCUGAUACUGACGCUGAGGAACGAAAGCCAGGGGAGCGAACGGG
rnacentral:rRNA from 1 species